rnacentral:misc_RNA from 1 species
AACAUCGCGCACCUGCGGGAACCUGCGGAAGGAUCAUUACAGAGUUGCAAAACUCCCUAAACCAUUGUGAACGUUACCUAAACCGUUGCUUCGGCGGGCGGCCCGGGUCCUUCCCGGCGCCCAUCGGCCCUCGCGGGCGCCCACCGGAGGUAAACCAAACUAUUGCAUUGUAUGGCCUCUCUGAGUCUUCUGUACUGAAUAAGUCAAAACUUUCAACAACGGAUCUCAGAUCGGAAGAGC